rnacentral:rRNA from 1 species
UACAGAGGGUGCGAGCGUUGUUCGGAAUUACUGGGCGUAAAGCGCACGUAGGCGGAUUUGUAAGUCAGGGGUGAAAUCCCGGGGCUCAACCCCGGAACUGCCUUUGAUACUGCGAAUCUCGAGUCCGGAAGAGGUGAGUGGAAUUCCUAGUGUAGAGGUGAAAUUCGUAGAUAUUCGGAAGAACACCAGUGGCGAAGGCGGCUCACUGGCCCGGUACUGACGCUGAAAUACGAAAGCGUGGGGAGCAAACAGG